CCUACGGGAGGCAGCAGUGGGGAAUAUUGCACAAUGGGGGAAACCCUGAUGCAGCGACGCCGCGUGAGUGAAGAAGUAUUUCGGUAUGUAAAGCUCUAUCAGCAGGGAAGAAAAUGACGGUACCUGACUAAGAAGCCCCGGCUAACUACGUGCCAGCAGCCGCGGUAAUACGUAGGGGGCAAGCGUUAUCCGGAUUUACUGGGUGUAGAGGGAGCGUAGACGGUGAUGCAAGUCAGAAGUGAAAGCCCGGGGCUCAACUCCGGGACUGCUUUUGAAACUGUGUGACUAGAGUGCAGGAGAGGUAAGCGGAAUUCCUGGUGUAGCGGUGAAAUGCGUAGAUAUUAGGAGGAACACCAGUGGCGAAGGCGGCUUACUGGACUGUAACUGACGUUGAGGCUCGAAAGCGUGGGGAGCAAACAGGAUUAGAUACCCCAGUAGUC
rnacentral:rRNA from 1 species